GACGAACGCUGGCGGCGUGCUUAACACAUGCAAGUCGAACGGAAAGGCCUCUUUCGGGGGGUACUCGAGUGGCGAACGGGUGAGUAACACGUGAGUAACCUGCCCUUGACUUUGGGAUAACUUCAGGAAACUGGGGCUAAUACCGGAUAGGAGCUCCUGCUGCAUGGUGGGGGUUGGAAAGUUUCGGCGGUUGGGGAUGGACUCGCGGCUUAUCAGCUUGUUGGUGGGGUAGUGGCUUACCAAGGCUUUGACGGGUAGCCGGCCUGAGAGGGUGACCGGCCACAUUGGGACUGAGAUACGGCCCAGACUCCUACGGGAGGCAGCAGGGGGGAAUAUUGCACAAUGGGUGGAAGCCGGAUGCAGCAACGCCGUGGGCGGGAGGACGGCCUUCGGGUUGUAAACCGCUUUCGCUCAUGACGAAGCUUUGUGUGACGGUAGUGGGUAAAGAAGCACCGGCUAACUACGUG
rnacentral:rRNA from 1 species